AGUGAACGCUGGCGGUAGGCCUAACACAUGCAAGUCGAACGGCAGCACAGUAAGAGCUUGCUCUUACGGGUGGCGAGUGGCGGACGGGUGAGGAAUACAUCGGAAUCUACUUUUUCGUGGGGGAUAACGUAGGGAAAGUUACGCUAAUACCGCAUACGACCUACGGGUGAAAGCAGGGGAUCUUCGGACCUUGCGCGAUUGAAUGAGCCGAUGUCGGAUUAGCUAGUUGGCGGGGUAAAGGCCCACCAAGGCGACGAUCCGUAGCUGGUCUGAGAGGAUGAUCAGCCACACUGGAACUGAGACACGGUCCAGACUCCUACGGGAGGCAGCAGUGGGGAAUAUUGGACAAUGGGCGCAAGCCUGAUCCAGCCAUACCGCGUGGGUGAAGAAGGCCUUCGGGUUGUAAAGCCCUUUUGUUGGGAAAGAAAAGCAGCAGGUUAAUACCCCGCUGUUCUGACGGUACCCAAAGAAUAAGCACCGGCUAACUUCGUG
rnacentral:rRNA from 1 species